rnacentral:rRNA from 1 species
AGUGAACGCUGGCGGUAGGCCUAACACAUGCAAGUCGAACGGCAGCACAGUAAGAGCUUGCUCUUACGGGUGGCGAGUGGCGGACGGGUGAGGAAUACAUCGGAAUCUACUUUUUCGUGGGGGAUAACGUAGGGUAACUUACGCUAAUACCGCAUACGACCUACGGGUGAAAGCAGGGGAUCUUCGGACCUUGCGCGAUUGAAUGAGCCGAUGUCGGAUUAGCUAGUUGGCGGGGUAAAGGCCCACCAAGGCGACGAUCCGUAGCUGGUCUGAGAGGAUGAUCAGCCACACUGGAACUGAGACACGGUCCAGACUCCUACGGGAGGCAGCAGUGGGGAAUAUUGGACAAUGGGCGCAAGCCUGAUCCAGCCAUACCGCGUGGGUGAAGAAGGCCUUCGGGUUGUAAAGCCCUUUUGUUGGGAAAGGAAAGCAGCAGGUUAAUACCCCGCUGUUCUGACGGUACCCAAAGAAUAAGCACCGGCUAACUUCGUG